CCAAUCAAAGUUUAUGUAAAGAAUUUCCCGAGGAUUCCUGAAGACGUAUUGUCAUACCAGUGUAUUAUACCUAUGGGUAUAAAAAUUCUUGCUAGGGGAAGAACUUACCUUGUUUUGUUCUUGAUGAGCUUCCAGAAAUGUGUACACAUUUUAUUUCUCUUUGUUCUUAUAUAUUUUUUCACUUAUUACUAGAGCUGUGGUUAUUAUGCUGCCUGAUGCUUUUUGAAGGAUUUGCAGGAG